rnacentral:rRNA from 1 species
UACGGAGGGUGCAAGCGUUAUCCGGAUUCACUGGGUUUAAAGGGUGCGUAGGUGGGUCUGUAAGUCAGUGGUGAAAUCUCCGUGCUUAACAUGGAAACUGCCAUUGAUACUAUAGGUCUUGAAUUUUCUGGAGGUCAGCGGAAUAUGUCAUGUAGCGGUGAAAUGCUUAGAUAUGACAUAGAACACCAAUUGCGAAGGCAGCUGGCUACAGGGAUAUUGACACUGAGGCACGAAAGCGUGGGGGAUCAAACAGG